CUCCUCUCAGGAUCGCAUCUGGAGAGUUUCUAGAACUCUACCAGUAUCGACUACGGGAGGGAGAGUCAAGCAAGGCCUGUCCAUUCCAUUCCUCACUUGGACAGUGGCUAGCGAGUGGAAGGCAAUCGGCUGCAAAU